GCCUCUUACUUCUUAAGAGCUACACACCACUCCAUGAAUAUUCUACAGUAUGCUUGAAUCAUGCUCUACCAGUGAACCAUUUCUAUCUAAAUUUUUGCCUUUACAGGUUGCAGUGAACAUCUAAGAUGAAUACCUGGAAGCAGAAUUGCUAGUGCAAAGGGAAACCAGGUUCUGCAGAGCCCCUGGCCAGGGUGCCCCAACUGCUCGUGCGGCUUUCCACUAAGGAGGCUCCACAGUGAGCUUCCCUAUGGGAGGACAACUUUAAAAACCCUGCCAUCCGCUUCUGGGUGACAACGUGUCACCAGGGAGAAGAAGGAAAGCGAAGGGUUUGCGGUAUUUGGCCUCCACAAUAAAACCAAGUUGCAGUUGACGUCUCACCGAACAUGAGGUCUGUGCACACAAGUGCGAUGGUGU
rnacentral:lncRNA from 1 species